GUGCAAACUCUAUCACUAGCUCUGUAUGAUGUUGCAAAAGUGAGGGGAACCUGUUUGGCUAAAAUAAUUACAGUGAUACCAAUGUAUUAACUUUAAACGCUAAUGAGAGUGUCCAUUCUAUUCAACUACAGAG